ACUCAAAUAGCUUAUUAAAGAGUAUUACACUGAAGAUGUAAGGGAGAUGUUUUGUUUUUGAGUA
rnacentral:tRNA from 1 species